CAUGUCCAUUUUCUACAAUUACAUUUACACAUUUGGCAGACGCUUUUAUACGAAGCAACUUACAUUGCUUUCAAGAUACACAUUU